UGAGGAAUAUUGGUCAAUGGACGCAAGUCUGAACCAGCCAAGUAGCGUGCAGGAUGACGGCCCUAUGGGUUGUAAACUGCUUUUAUAUGGGGAUAAAGUGGGGAACGUGUUCCCUUUUGCAGGUACCAUAUGAAUAAGGACCGGCUAAUUCCGUGCCAGCAGCCGCGGUAAUACGGAAGGUUCGGGCGUUAUCCGGUUUUAUUGGGUUUAAAGGGAGCGUAGGCCGUUUGGUAAGCGUGUUGUGAAAUGUAGGAGCUCAACUUCUAGAUUGCAGCGCGAACUGUGAGACUUGAGUGCGCACAACGUAGGCGGAAUUCAUGGUGUAGCGGUGAAAUGCUUAGAUAUCAUGAAGAACUCCGAUUGCGAAGGCAGCUUACGGGAGCGCAACUGACGCUGAAGCUCGAAGGUGCGGGUAUCGAACAGG
rnacentral:rRNA from 1 species